rnacentral:rRNA from 1 species
UACAUGAGUGGCGAGCGUUAUCCGUAUUUAUUGGGCGUAAAGGAUGCGUAGAUUGUAAAAGAAGUUGUAGUCUACUUUAACAGUUGAUUGGGUUGAUUUACAAUACCUUUUUACUAGAGUUUUUUUUAAGCGCAUGGCAUUUAUAAACUAGUGGUAAAAUACUUUGAGUUUAUAAGUAUCUUCUUAUAUGAAAAUAAUGUGCUGAAAAAAACUGACAUUGAGGCAUUAAAGUAUGGGUAUCUAAUAGG